rfam:Mus musculus chromosome 5, GRC primary reference assembly.
AUUGCUUCUCGGCCUUUUGGCUAAGAUCAAGUGGAGAAUGUUCUAGAAGCCAGAACACCAUGUACAAUGGUGAAACCAUCUAAUUAUUUUUGAGAUUUCCAUACAUGCCUUAGGCUGACUUAAACUCUUUGGGGUUUUUUGUUUGUUUAGAUUUGUUUUGUUUGUUUGAGACAGGGUUUCUCU